CGUGUAGGCGGUUUAUUAAGUCUGAUGUGAAAUCCCUGGGCUCAAUCCAGGAAGUGCAUUGGGUACUGACAGACUAGAGUGCAGGAGAGGUGAGCGGAAUUCCCGGUGUAGAGGUGAAAUUCGUAGAUAUCGGGAGGAACAACAGUGGCGAAGGCGGCUCACUGGACUGCAACUGACGCUGAUGCGCGAAAGCGUGGGGAGCAAACA
rnacentral:rRNA from 1 species